GGCUUAACACAUGCGAGUCGAACGGUAACAGAAAAUAGCUUGCUAUUUUGCUGACGAGUGGCGGACGGGUGAGUAAUGCUUGGGAAUUUGCCGAAAGGUGGGGGACAACAGUUGGAAACGACUGCUAAUACCGCAUAAUGUCUACGGACCAAAGGUGGCCUCUAUUUAUAUGCUAUCGCUUUUCGAUGAGCCCAAGUGGGAUUAGCUAGUUGGUAAGGUAAUGGCUUACCAAGGCGACGAUCCCUAGCUGGUCUUAGAGGAUGACCAGCCACACUGGAACUGAGACACGGUCCAGACUCCUACGGGAGGCAGCAGUGGGGAAUAUUGCA
rnacentral:rRNA from 1 species